AUUUUUUGGUACUUCAUAUAUAUUGGGGCUUAAGUGGACCCAAUACUUAUACACAUGUUUUCUCCAGCAGCCAACUGAGAGAUGACACAGAAGAACAGACAGGCGAUAAAUGUCUCCUUUAUUACUGAUGAAGCCACGUUCUCCAUGAAAUUCAGGGCUGUGGGAAAAUGCAUGUCAUGAUACUGUGUCCCAGAAUUAGAGACUCACGCAGUCCCAGGUAACUCUGGGCCACAGCGAGCCUUCCCUUAAGAUGAUCUGCCCCAUCCUGCACAGGGCUGCCCUGCCAUGGAGCUGAGCAUCCCGGGUGCUUCCCAAGGGUGGCCAACACUGGAGGGAAAGGAAAGGUUUCAUAUGCCCUGCUUGUCUCUCCGGACUCACACCUCAAUCUGUUAUUGUGAAGAGUGCUAGCCGUUGGCCAGGGGUCAGGGGUGUGAAGGGGGAAGCACUCUCCAUGGACCAGAGGAGUGUGGAGGAGGCAUCCCUUCUCUCAGUUUAAACAGGUGGUGAGAUGCAAGAGAAGGGUGCUCUCCAAGAGUUUAUAAGAGGGGAAAUAAGGAUUUCCUUUGGGACUCAGACUAGCCAUGAAACACAGAAGAUGAUUAGUAGGGAGACUUGUAAAUCACUUUCUUAUUAAAUUCACAUUUGUUGAGCACCAAAAAUGUGCUACAUUCUUUUCUGAGCGUUUUACAGAAAUGAAUCCUUCAAUCUUCACAACAAGUGAGUAAGGGAGAUUUGAUUGUUAUCCCAGGUUUACAAUGUGGAAAUUGAGGCACGGAGAGAGUAAGUAAGUUGGCCAAGGUCACAGAGCUAGUAAGUGGCAGAGCUGGUAUUUAAACCCUGGCUGUCUGGUUUCCAGGCUCCCAGGGAUGGGCUUUGGGUGUUUAGAGGUAUCUGCAUCCCUGGAUCUCUGUACCUCUGUGCAUCACUUAGCCCAGAAAGGACAGGGAAAGGAGAGUUACACAGGUGCUCACAGUCGUGUCUCAGCCACUGUCCACGGACAGUGCACCGUGAUUGGCGUUAAAUGUCUUCUGGGCAGCAGAUCUGUUCGUAUAACAGAAAUUUAGUCCAUUGAGUUAAUCUAGAAACCCUUCCUGCUCUGCUUCUGUCCAUGGUUUCCAUGUGACUGCCUGCCCGUGAUUGGGCCGUUGAGGAGAAUCUGUACUCAUAGUUGAACUCUGAUAUUUCAGUCUGGUUCGUAGUUUCACAUCUCCUGUUACAUUAAUAAAUUCAAUUUCUGGUUUCUUUGCAUCAGUCUCUCAUGAGUUUGGUUAAUGUGACAUCAGUCCAUGGGAGCCUAGUGUUGCUGACGGUAUAUUUUCUGAGCACGUUGUGGCACUUCUACCCGUGUGGACCUGGGUGGAAGAUUUCCGCCUUCCGCACUUAUUUUCCCGAACAGCAGGGUCCUCUCCCACCCCCGGAUGUGAGGCUGGGAGCUCUCAGAGUAGGCCAGUCAGAGGCCAAGUCCACAAAUCAGAAAAUAAUGAAGUCCUUGGAAGUGGGUUUAAUAGAAAAAAAGGGCUUCCAGGUAUUCCGAUGGGCUGUUCGAGUCCAUUUGGUGAAAAGCUAUCCACUGUUACUGGUUGAGCUGCUUCUUUGCUGUUGAAAAGUCUGGAUUACAUGGAGGGAUUUUAAAAAGCAGAAAGGUGUGAUUUCAUGUGGUACAUCCACACCGGUGAGUAGUGAUGGAUGACCGCCUGUGUGAGGCAUAGACAGAGUCUUACAAACUUCAUAAAGCAGCUUUAAAAGCUCUGCCAUCUGAGUGCACUUCAUAUGGGGUCCAAUUCAUGACUGGGCAUGCUGAGAGGGCAAAUAAUUGAUAAUGGCAGAAAGGACACAGAGGCAUCAAAAAGGUCUCAGUCAUGUUCCCUGUUUAAAGGAUGUGGCACAAUGUAAUAUAUUUGGGCUGGUUCUUCACUGAACAGUUUUGAGUGUUUUCUGGGACUCCCCAGUGCACCAAGGUUCCGUGCAGCUGGGUGUCCCCUCAGUGCAGCUCUGUCAGCGCUCAUCCUGGGCUGACGUGGUGUCACGGGGAGCAGAACAGUCAGCGUCCCCGGCUCCUCCGAGCUCCGUUUCUUCAUCCGCAAUGCUGGGUUUCUCUUCGGUGUCUACUUAGUAGGGUUGCUGAGAAUCACACGUGAUGGUUGUCAGGGGCGAUUUGUGGUUGUCUCUGUGAUUGUCAUAUAGUGAAUAUUUGAUAGAAACUCUUGUUUUUUAUUAAAAUUAUGGCUCCUAGAUUGCAGUGGUUUUUAGUCUGCAUUUACUCUUUUUAUAAAUUUAUUCUUAUUUUUAAAUAAGCACUUAUUUUUAUUUAUUUUUAUGAAGGAACUGGGGACUGAAGCCAGCACAUUGUGCAUGCUAAGCAGGUGUUCUACAACUGAGUAAUACAGACCCUCCUUGUCUGAACUUAAAAAUAAAUAUUUCAAUACACAAAAUAGCUCUUAAACCCCAUCAUGGGCCUAUUUUCUGUAUAGACAAUUGAAUACAUAUGCUAAUUCAAUAAGAAUAAAUGUUGUUGGGACAUAAUUUCUGAAUCUGUUUAUGUGUUUAAAAACGAUCAUAGGUAGUGAUAAACACGAGUCUUGGAUCCACUACUUAGGGUCUGUUUUGCCAUCAUGGGAAAUUAUAUUUUACAGAGAAGGCUAAUUGGGUCUCGUUGAUAUUUGGAUGAUUUAGCAGAUGAUGAAGGCUUUCAAAAGCUGACAGUUUUGUAUUUUAAACUAACUACAAAGUUAUCUUCUAUAAAUUGGAAGUCCUCAGCUUGUGAAUUGCCCAGUAAUUCAGUGUGUACAUGUCUGUGUCUCUGUGAACGUGUGUGUGUGUGUGUGUGUGUGUGUGUGUGUGUGUGUGUGUGUGUGAUUUCAGGAAGGUAGAAAUAAGUUCCAUAUAGCCUUCUGAUACCUUUCUCUUCCAGUUCAAGGUGUAGGCAUAUAUUUAUACAAAUAAAUUGAUACUCUUUUGUCAUUUGGCAUAUUGGUGGGUAUAAAAGUUUCUCAUACUUGUUUCAGAAGGGUUGGGGAGAAUGAGCUUAGAAAAUAGGAGGAGAUAGAGGCAGGAAGGUUCUUUACACUUUGUGCAGGAUGAGAAACAGUAGCUUUUCUUUUUUCUACUAAAGCAAACUGGCACUGAAUUGUAACAUACUAUUACUCAGAAUUGCUUUUCUGAUCAGAUACGAGUGCCUCAGAUUUUUCAAGGCAACAUGAAUGAUGAAAUGUGUUUUAGCAAUUAUCUUUAAAUGUAGUUUUAUUUUUUAAGUAAAAGGCUAUAGCCUGUUCUUUCUUCCAGCGUUACAAGAAGUUCCCAUUGAUCCAGGUACAUGAUAAUUGUGCUUAGUUUCUUCGGGUUAUUGUUUUGUUUUUUUUUUUAAGUGCUUGUUUCAUUGUGGUGUGAAUGAAUGUUUAAAAUUUCUGGAUUUUGAUGUUUAGAACAUGCUGAUUUAUCAGAACUGUUAAAAACCUGAUUGUUGUUUGGUCCUCGUUUGGUGGGGCAACCUAUUGAUUUCUGUUGUCUGUUAAAGAGGGAAAUUCUUCCUCUAGCCUGUAGAUCAUUAAGUGAAUGGUUUGCAGUGUGCCUUUAAAAUUCUUUGAAUGCAUUGAGCAUGUUUGUCCAGUGAAUUUUGAAUUGACUCAUAGUAAUGACUUUGUUUGAUUCUGUGGCUUUUGCUCCUCUCCACAUGAAUUUGAAUUCUCUGUUGCAUUUUGUAUACGUGUUCUUAACAGGGGAAGAAAUUUUGCAUUUUUUACAUAGGUGGGUUUUCCUAUCCCCUCUGAAUGCCUUCUGUAAUUGAUACAGCGAAAAUCUGUUAUUUCAGUGCUUAAUUAUUUCAUAAACUAUUUUUUGGCUUAAUCAGAAACAAUGACAAAGAAUGAUAAUAAAAAACAUGAAAACCUUCCUUCCUUUGAAGAAUAGAAAUGAGGUGGUCAGGCUCACGCGUGCUUUGUACCUGACACCCGUACUUUCAUGUCAUUGUGUAUCAUGAUUCGGAGAUGGAGUUGCUUCAGGUUUGUAGAUUUUUGUUUUAACAUUUGUGUUGAAUUCAUUCUCUAGGCUGAUGUUUCCUGUUGCGUUUGUGGAAAGUGUAGGUGAAGGGAAACAGAUGCUACGUUUUGUAUUCAGGAGGCCUGAGUUGCUGAAGAGUAUAGAGUAGAGGGUGGGCUGAGGAACAGAGUGACACUCCCUCACCUCCAGGCUGAAAUUGAUGAACAAUGAAAUCAAUUAGGUGUAUCGGUAUUUAUUUGACCAAUAGAAGUCAGAGGGCCCAGACUGUCUAGUUAUGCGCAAUGGAAAGUACUGAAUUCACCUGCAGAAUUAGGUGAUUUACCAAGUAGAAGCAGCUUAGAGCAAUCAGAAAAAUCAGUUCUAUGAUGAGAUAUAAAAAGAAUAUAAUAUCUAUUAUUUCUGAAACUUUUCUAUGUUAAGUUGUGUAGAGCUAAAAUUAAGUUCCAAGCACCAGGAGUUAAGAGUCUGGGUGGUUCUGUGGGAUCGUUAUUCAGGGAUGUGUCUAGACCCUGCUGGAAUGGCCGAAGCUGGCAGGAAAAGACGCAGAGGCAGGAUUUGUCAUCCUAGGGUGUCCUCCAUAAUGGUUCCAUGUGAUAGCCCAUGAUUGGGUUAACAAAUUUAACAGACACCAGACGCAUGUCAACCUUAAGAAGAAAAAGUGUGCUUAGUAACUGCUUUCAAGCAAGCACCUGUGCAUCCUCACUCCUGUCUCCUUGCCAUAAAAAGCAGAGACAAUGCCUUGCUUGCAUAUUUGAGGUUUUAGAUAGCACUCUGUUCAUUGCACAGCAAUGACCCAGGCCCUCAGCUAUAAAUGCUGGGCGUGCGUGCUGUUAGAUAGUCUAUUAUCCCCAAAACACGGACCUGGCUGGACUGGUGGUCUGCUUUGUAAUGAAUAUCUAAAGAAUUUAUCUUGUUCCCCUCUCCCCAUGACUCCCCUAAAGGUAAACUAAGCCUUUUUACUCAUUGUGGAUUCUACAAUCUCUGUCUCAUCCUGUCUUUCCCCAAGUUCCUGUUUACUAUCACACAACUGUUAAAGACUAUUUUCUUUGAUUAUACACAAUAAAUAUGGGAGGAUUUGAGAGGCUCUUGGAGUUGGCUCCCUACUCCCUCUCGCUUUCUUUCCUUUUUCCACAGUCUUGAGUCAUUCAUUCCAUGUCGGUAAGACUUCUGCCAGCCAGAACCCACAGUUCCAGGUGAGAAGGAUGCAGACUUUAUCUCUCCUACCCGAGGGAGAGAGAGAAGAGAAUUGAGAUCUGCUCCCCCGUGGUCCCUUCCUGCCCCAGGGCCACUCCAGUUCACCUGCAGCCUUCUGGCCUCUGCUCUCAGGGCCUCUGUCCCAAGACUGACAUCAGCCUUUUUUUCCCUUGUCAAUAUUUCCUGUGCCUUUCAGGAGUUGGUCUCUUCUCUGCAAUUCCACCCUGGCAGAUGUGAUGGUGGUCAGCGUGCUGGUGGGCAGUCAUUUGGGGACUCCCAGGAACCAUUCUGAUUCUCCUGAGUCUCUCAUUCGGGGUUACAAAACUGUCGAGAACCGGAGGAAGCCCAUUCACGUGAGCAGCAGCUAGUCAGUUUCUGCAGAGGAGACCGCAGGGAUUGUGAUCGAGACCACGUUGAAUAUACGGAUCGUUCUGGGGAGCACUGCCAUUCCAAAAGCGCUGUCUUCUGAUCCAGCAAUGUGCGUGGUUUGUCCAGGUGCCCUCACCUCCAGUAGCAUCCAUCCAGACACCGGAACUGACACUGGCCGUGCUCCGAACUGCCUCAGCCCUGAAGACACAACUGACAAAUAGAAGGGGACCACGCCCUGUUACAGCAGGUGCUCUCACUUUGUGGAUCCUUAUGUAACUGAGCGGUGUUAAUCAGGAUUGCCCGUUCUACAUUGUGUGGCGCUGCUGCGGUGUCUCCUAGUUACUUGUUUCUUGUAAGAAUGCCGGUGACUGAGUUAGAAGCAUGCUCCCAAGCUGUCCGUGUCCUUGCCAUUCAGAAGCGGACCCUGGAAGCUUCCAAAUUUCUCCAGAAUGCGUUCUACAUUCACCUUCGGCAGGUGAGUGUAUGUCUUUACACAAGUGGAGGAAUUACUGCCGUUUUCCUGGACCUUACUCACCACUAGUCCAUCUGAUUUUUCUGUGCUAGGAUUCAGUAUGGCCUGCUAAAAUAUCUGGAGUCAGAUCUUGAAACACUGAUGAAGAGGAUCAUUUAUUUUAUUUCUAUAUAUGAUAGCCUUUUACUUUCAAAAUUCAGAAUUUUUGGUUCUUUCAGGAAUUUUUGGGGGAUUGGCGAAACAACUUUGCUCUUACAAUCUUUGAGACCUGUUGCUUUGUGCCUCUCACCUGUCUUCUGUCACUUGUGAGAGGCGAUUCCAUUUGUGACCCUGUCCGGGUUGUUCAUGUUAUAAAACAUAUAGUCUGUUAAAGUACAGUCCCUUUUACUCCAAAGACAUUCCACAAAUACUACUAAAACCUGGGUGUGGUUUUAAGAAGACAGAAUCAUUAGAAAAUGUACUUGCAGGUUGCUAGUGCAAAAUCCCCAAAUCAAUAGUCCAGCUCAACAUCUAAAAUCUAUCUAAUCUACCUUGGAUUUGUAUGGAUAAGUGAAGCAGUUUGCUAA